rnacentral:rRNA from 1 species
AUGAAUCAUAGCUUGAUCAUACAGCAGCCCCCUCGUCCAUGGUCAGUACUUAAAUCUGUGUUGUCCAACAAUAAAAUCUAUGUGCCAGCUGGCUGGAGCAACAUUAUUGUCUUGGAUUUGGCGGCCUCAAGUUUCUCCAUAAUUGAGCUCCCAGAAGGGAUGGAGUAUGGUGAGAGAAACACCAUAUUGUCACAGGCCGAUGAUGUUGCUGGUGUAUAUCUUAUCCAUGUCAAGAAAUUUCAACUUCGCAUCUGGCUCCACAAUGGGUACACAUGGUUGCUGAUGGACACCAUUUAUUUGCGUGAGAUGUGUGCUGAUUUGAGUAUGGUAGAUGGCAAUGCUUCUCUGCUGAUAAACCAGGCAGGAGACAAUGCCGAGUUUGUGUUCUUGGACAUGGGUCGAUGCACAUUCCUCUUGGACAUCAAGCGCAAAACAAUGCAUAAGGUGUAUGAGAAGGAAGACGGUGAUAAAUUUUUCUGUGAAAUCCAUCCUCUUAUGAUGAUUUGGCCUCCCAUAUUUCCUGCACUCAAGGAUGAUCCUAAAAGAAAUGCCAUGCUCAGGCUGAAGAUCAAGGAUAUGGAUGGACACUAG